rnacentral:rRNA from 1 species
GAGGAAAGCGGGCGGCGUGCCUAAUACAUGCAAGUCGAGCGAACGGACGAGAAGCUUGCUUCUCUGAUGUUAGCGGCGGACGGGUGAGUAACACGUGGAUAACCUACCUAUAAGACUGGGAUAACUUCGGGAAACCGGAGCUAAUACCGGAUAAUAUUUUGAACCGCAUGGUUCAAAAGUGAAAGACGGUCUUGCUGUCACUUAUAGAUGGAUCCGCGCUGCAUUAGCUAGUUGGUAAGGUAACGGCUUACCAAGGCAACGAUGCAUAGCCGACCUGAGAGGGUGAUCGGCCACACUGGAACUGAGUCACGGUCCAGACUCCUACGGGAGGCAGCAGUAGGGAAUCUUCCGCAAUGGGCGAAAGCCUGACGGAGCAACGCCGCGUGAGUGAUGAAGGUCUUCGGAUCGUAAAACUCUGUUAUUAGGGAAGAACAUAUGUGUAAGUAACUGUGCACAUCUUGACGGUACCUAAUCAGAAAGCCACGGCUAACUACGUG